rnacentral:rRNA from 1 species
AACCCUUGUCUUAAUUGCCAUCAUUUAGUUGGGCACUUUAAGAGACUGCCGGUGUUAAGCCGGAGGAAGGUGGGAUGACGUCAAGUCCUCAUGGCCUUAUGCCCAGGGCUACACACGUGCUACAAUGGGCGGUACAAAGAGAAGCAACCUCGCGAGGGUGAGCAAAUCUCAAAAAGCCGUUCUCAGUUCGGAUUGAAGUCUGCAACUCGACUUCAUGAAGUCGGAAUCGCUAGUAAUCGCGGAUCAGCAUGCCGCGGUGAAUACGUUCCCGGGCCUU